GGGGUGAGCGAGGUGGUGGGGAUGGUUGCUAGGAAGGACCAUGGGAAUUCUUUAUUUUUCUUUCUUUCUUCUUUUUUUUUUUUUCCCCCUGUUCACUCCCCCCUCUUCUCUCCCCCUGGCUAGAGAGUGCAAGACGCUAGUCACUUCCAAAGGUGGAUUGAUGCCUGCUGAUAUCUUUAGAGGGUGGCUGGCCGGCAUUCAUACCUACAUGCAUGGCUUUCACCUUGGGGUACCAGAUUUUGAGCAGUGAAUAUUCUGAGCAUUUUGUUACUACCAAAAAAGGAGUCCAGCAAAGAGUGAAAUCCUUGAAGGUAGUCUUGCAAUGAAGAAUUUGUUGUCUCAGUAGUUGAGAUUCUUUUGGUCCUUUUUUCAACAGAAGAAGACCAAGUCAGAAAGUGAUUGGGCCUUCAGGAAGAUAGUUGUUAACUGUUUCCAGUAUACGGCUGGCAAAAUCACCUUUUCAGGAAAGUGAAAUCAAGAACUUUCUCUUCUCUCUCUGCUAAAAUACUACUAAAGGUUAUUAAAGACCUCAGCAAUGAAAAUUCUCCUGAAAGAAGAGGACAGAACUUCAAAGGAAAAUGAAAUUCCUGAUUGUACCUGUGGCUCCUCUCUCAAAGCCUGGAAGGAAGGUGGUCAUUUGCCCAGUCCAGUGGGGGCACGAGAGUCAUGAGCCCCCGCGACCACCCUCGCACCAGCUCCUCACAGCACAACCGGCUCCAUUCUCAUGGGCAAACGCAUCCGAAGACGUCCGGUGUGGACAGUGCGGAAGGGUGGAGCUGCCGGCCUCGCCGACUCAGCAGCGUUUCUGCGCUGUAGUAAAACUGCUACCUGGACGCGGGCGCUGUGGGAAGGCGGGUGCUGGAGGUUGUUCCUGCAGCAUUGUGCCAGGCUGCAAAACCCAGCAGCUGGAUGGUGUCUGUUAA
rnacentral:lncRNA from 1 species